GAUGAAGAACGUAGCGAAAUGCGAUAAGUAAUGUGAAUUGCAGAAUUCAGUGAAUCAUCGAAUCUUUGAACGCACAUUGCGCCCGCCAGUAUUCUGGCGGGCAUACCUGUUCGAGCGUCAUUUCAACCAUCAAGCCCCAGGCUUGUGUUGGGGACCUGCGGCUGCCGCAGGCCCUGAAAACCAGUGGCGGGCUCGCUGUCACACCGGGCGUAGUAGAUUUUAUCUCGCUCUGGGCGUGCUGCGGGUUCCGGCCGUUAAAAAACCCUUUUAACCCAAGGUUGACCUCGGAUCAGGUAGGAAUACCCGCUGAACUUAAGCAUAUCAAUAAGCGGAGGA
rnacentral:misc_RNA from 1 species